rnacentral:rRNA from 1 species
AGAGUUUGAUCCUGGCUCAGAACGAACGCUGGCGGCAGGCCUAACACAUGCAAGUCGAGCGCUUUAACCACUUCGGUGGAGCGAGAGCGGCGGACGGGUGAGUAACGCGUGGGAAUAUGCCCUUCACUGCGGAAUAGCCUCGGGAAACUGAGAGUAAUACCGCAUACGCCCUUCGGGGGAAAGAUUUAUCGGUGAAGGAUUAGCCCGCGUUGGAUUAGGUAGUUGGUGGGGUAAAAGCCUACCAAGCCGACGAUCCAUAGCUGGUUUGAGAGGAUGAUCAGCCACACUGGGACUGAGACACGGCCCAGACUCCUACGGGAGGCAGCAGUGGGGAAUCUUAGACAAUGGGGGAAACCCUGAUCUAGCCAUGCCGCGUGAGUGACGAAGGCCUUAGGGUCGUAAAGCUCUUUCGCCAGGGAAGAUAAUGACGGUACCUGGUAAAGAAACCCCGGCUAACUCCGUGCCAGCAGCCGCGGUAAUACGGAGGGGGUUAGCGUUGUUCGGAAUUACUGGGGCGUAAGCGCGCGUAGGCGGACUAUUAAGUUAGUGGUGAAAUCCCAGGGGCUCAACCCCUGGAACUGCCUCUAAUACUGGUAGUCUUGAGUUCGAGAGAAGUGAGUGGAAUUCCGAGUGUAGAGGUGAAUUCGUAGAUAUCGGAAGACACCAGUGGCGAGGCCGCUCCUGGGCUCGAUCUGAGCU